rnacentral:rRNA from 1 species
CCCUACGGGGCGCAGCAGUGAGGAAUAUUGGUCAAUGGGCGGAAGCCUGAACCAGCCAAGUCGCGUGAGGGAAUAAGGCCCUACGGGUCGUAAACCUCUUUUGCCGGGGAGCAAGGGCCGGGACGCGUCCCGGCCCGGAGAGUACCCGGAGAAAAAGCAUCGGCUAACUCCGUGCCAGCAGCCGCGGUAAUCCGGAGGAUGCGAGCGUUAUCCGGAUUUAUUGGGUUUAAAGGGUGCGUAGGCGGGCUUUUAAGUCAGCGGCAAAAAUUCGGGGCUCAACCCAGUCCGGCCGUUGAAACUGGGGG